rnacentral:lncRNA from 1 species
UGCUCUAAAGCUCUCCGUUACUGGAAAAAAGGAUUUCCACUCAAUUAAAUCAUGAAGCAGAAGAUUAUGCAGUUUGAGUCUCAAGAUAUAAAAGGUUUGAAGAGAUUGCAUAUAGAUGACUGCUCCAGGUUAACACCCUCCGGCUCCUCUGGAAACCAGGUCAACUGCCCUAUGGAAGUACUGUCUAGCACCCAACAGAUGCCCAAAACUCCCCACCUGCCAAGCUCUGCAUGCUCUUUUGAAGCCCCUGGCUUCAAUGAGAACUUCCUCUAUUCAUGUUUUCAAGGAGAGGCUACUUGACUGACAUCGCAAUCAGCAAUGGAAAAGAGAAAGAGAAAGAACAGUCAUGAAAAGAGAAGCUACAAUCUCUUAUGCAAAUUUUGUAUAUAAGCUACUAUAAAAAUAAGCACUGAAAAAUUAGUCAGAAUCUAAAGAAGCAUGACAGACACUUAGUCCUGAACUCAGUGCCUAGGGAAUAAUUGAGUUCCCAACAAAUACUGGUUGUUCUAUUGAUUC